rnacentral:tRNA from 1 species
AGGGUAGAAUGGCUGAGUGUUUAGGCGGCGGGUUGUAAUCCUGUUAACAUAGGUUUAAUUCCUGUUUCUAUC